CUCCGCUCCAGGAGCUCCAGGUCUCUCCAUUCUGAUCCAGAUCCACACCAGACUUUACAACUAAUCUAAAUUCUACCACUUGUUUUCUUUUCUUUCAAUCAGUUCAGUAUGUCAGAAACUCCCAGCAAAGGCCACUGGAGGAUUCAAGAGUAAGAAGUUCACUGUAUUCUGUGUAACACAGUUUCCUGUACAUAUGAUGACAAAACUGACUCUUGGACAGACAAAGAGCUCCAAAGUCCUUUUACCUAGGCACCGUAGAUCUCGGAGGUCUGCCAAGCCUGAGGGUACACAGGAAACAGACUGAUGAUUGGAGGUAGACAGAGAGAAUGCCACCUAACCUGUCCUGUUUUUCCAAACGCUACCAUCAUCGACGUGUCUAAGGCCCAGCUAACUCCAAUUUACUUCACAGCAACGAAGCCUUGGGCUAGAUUACUGUCACUAAAAUGGAGUAAACCUAGCAUAUAAACUGCUGCUGUACGUUCACAGGGGUAUGAAAAUACAUACCCCAGAUGGUGACAGGUGACUAGAGGAUCUAAACCUUUUUAAUUUCCCCGCACUACUGCUUCGUCUUCCUACGGUUUCCUUUUUCUAUGACUUUUUUCUGAUAAAGAAGUAAAGAAAACAGCAAUUAUAAAAUUCCUUUACUACAGAGUUCUUGCCCGCCCGGUCUGUCAGCUUAAGUUCCAGAAAGCUGACAAUAAAAGACCACAAGCUCAACCUAAAAUGACAACGAGAGCAUUUCAAUCCAUCCCAGCCUUUCUUUAUCUCCUAGUCUGCGCUGUCAUUCCAGCAUAAAUGGCAGCCGUCAUCCACCGAGACCCUCCCUGUGCCAAAAUGGCCGACGCCACCCUGUCAGCCUGUGUGUGUGAUUACUGCUCCGAAACUGUCACUCACCCGCGUUUGCACUUCUUGAAGAUUUUCCCGAUGGUGUCUUCUUGCAGACCGUACUUUUCUGAAAUCUGAGCAUGAGAAAGGAGAAACAAGAUGCGUGUCAUUUCGAGGAUCUUGUAGCAUGUACAGUGAGAUCUUCAGAUGUAUGAGAAAAGGAUAGAAGGAAGAGAAGAAGAACAGGAAGAAAGAGAAAGAAAAGAGAAGGAACGGCUGAUGAGUAAGCAGGACGUACCGCUUGUCUGAGUCCUCUCAGGGUGGGCGAGUUCAACAUGAGGGCAUCGAACACUUCUUCUGAUUCUUGCCGUACGUACAGGAGGACUAUAACACCAAUAAUAAACAAAUAAAUAAAUAAAUUGAUGUAUUGUUGUGGAUA